rnacentral:rRNA from 1 species
AAUGAACGUUGGCGGCGUGGAUUAGGCAUGCAAGUCGAACGAUAUCUGUAGCAAUACAGUGAAAGUGGCGAAAGGGAGAGUAAUACGUAGGUACCUGCCCUCGGGUCUGGGAUAGCUGCGGGAAACUGCAAUUAAUACCGGAUGACGUCUCUGGACCAAAGGUGUGAUUCCGCCAGAGGAUGGGCCUGCGUCCUAUCAGCUAGUUGGUGUGGUAANGGCGCACCAAGGCUAAGACGGGUACGGGUGGUGAGAGC